rnacentral:rRNA from 1 species
UACGUAGGGAGCAAGCGUUGUCCGGAUUUACUGGGUGUAAAGGGUGCGUAGGCGGAUUGGCAAGUCAGAAGUGAAAUCCAUGGGCUUAACCCAUGAACUGCUUUUGAAACUGUUAGUCUUGAGUGAAGUAGAGGUAGGCGGAAUUCCCGGUGUAGCGGUGAAAUGCGUAGAGAUCGGGAGGAACACCAGUGGCGAAGGCGGCCUACUGGGCUUUAACUGACGCUGAGGCACGAAAGUGUGGGUAGCAAACAGGAUUAGAUACCCUGGUAGUCCACACUGUAAACGAUGAUUACUAGGUGUGGGGGGUCUAACCCCUUCCGUGCCGGAGUUAACACAAUAAGUAAUCCACCUGGGGAGUACGACCGCAAGGUUGAAACUCAAAGGAAUUGACGGGGGCCCGCACAAGCAGUGGAGUAUGUGGUUUAAUUCGACGCAACGCGAAGAACCUUACCAGGUCUUGACAUCCAACUAACGAAGCAGAGAUGCAUUAGGUGCCCUUCGGGGAAAGUUGAGACAGGUGGUGCAUGGUUGUCGUCAGCUCGUGUCGUGAGAUGUUGGGUUAAGUCCCGCAACGAGCGCAACCCUUGUGAUUAGUUGCUACGCAAGAGCACUCUAAUCAGACUGCCGUUGACAAAACGGAGGAAGGUGGGGACGACGUCAAAUCAUCAUGCCCUUUAUGACCUGGGCUACACACGUACUACAAUGGUCGUUAACAGAGGGAAGCAAUACCGCGAGGUGGAGCAAAACCCUAAAAACGGUCUCAGUUCAGAUUGUAGGCUGCAACUCGCCUACAUGAAGUUGGAAUUGCUAGUAAUCGCGGAUCAGCAUGCCGCGGUGAAUACGUUCCCGGGCCUUGUACACACCGCCCGUCACACCAUGGGAGCCGGUAAUACCCGAAGUCAGUAGUCCAACCUCGUGAGGACGCUGCCGAAGGUAGGAUUGGCGACUGGGGUGAAGUCGUAACAAGGUAGCCGUAUCGGAAGGUGCGGCUG